AUUGAACGCUGGCGGCAUGCCUUACACAUGCAAGUCGAACGGCAGCACGGGGCAACCUGGUGGCGAGUGGCGAACGGGUGAGUAAUGCAUCGGAACGUACCUUUCAGUGGGGGAUAACGUAGCGAAAGUUACGCUAAUACCGCAUAUUCUGUGAGCAGGAAAGCAGGGGAUCGCAAGACCUUGCGCUGAUUGAGCGGCCGAUGUCAGAUUAGCUAGUUGGUGAGGUAAAGGCUCACCAAGGCGACGAUCUGUAGCGGGUCUGAGAGGAUGAUCCGCCACACUGGAACUGAGACACGGUCCAGACUCCUACGGGAGGCAGCAGUGGGGAAUUUUGGACGAUGGGGGCAACCCUGAUCCAGCCAUGCCGCGUGAGUGAAGAAGGCCUUCGGGUUGCAAAGCUCUUUCGGCCGGGAAGAAAUCGCACGGGCUAAUACCCUGUGUGGAUGACGGUACCGGAAUAAGAAGCACCGGCUAACUACGUGCCAGCAGCCGCCGUAACAC
rnacentral:rRNA from 1 species